rnacentral:tRNA from 1 species
UGCCCGGUCGUCUAACGGUAGGACAAUAGACUCUGAAUCUAUUUAUCCUCGUUCAAAUCGAGGCUGGGCAGCCA